CCUACGGGAGGCAGCAGUGGGGAAUAUUGGACAAUGGGGGCAACCCUGAUCCAGCCAUGCCGCGUGUGUGAAGAAGGCCCUCGGGUUGUAAAGCACUUUCAGUGAGGAAGAACGCCUGGUGGUUAAUACCCAUCAGGAAAGACAUCACUCACAGAAGAAGCACCGGCUAACUCCGUGCCAGCAGCCGCGGUAAUACGGAGGGUGCGAGCGUUAAUCGGAAUUACUGGGCGUAAAGCGCGCGUAGGUGGCUUGAUAAGCCGGUUGUGAAAGCCCCGGGCUCAACCUGGGAACGGCAUCCGGAACUGUCAAGCUAGAGUGCAGGAGAGGAAGGUAGAAUUCCCGGUGUAGCAGUGAAAUGCGUAGAGAUCGGGAGGAAUACCAGUGGCGAAGGCGGCCUUCUGGACUGACACUGACACUGAGGUGCGAAAGCGUGGGUAGCAAACAGGAUUAGAUACCCGUGUAGUC
rnacentral:rRNA from 1 species